rnacentral:rRNA from 1 species
GAUGAACGCUGGCGGCGUGCCUAAUACAUGCAAGUCGAGCGAACGGACGAGAAGCUUGCUUUUCUGAUGUUAGCGGCGGACGGGUGAGUAACACGUGGAUAACCUACCUAUAAGACUGGGAUAACUUCGGGAAACCGGAGCUAAUACCGGAUAAUAUUUUGAACCGCAUGGUUCAAAAGUGAAAGACGGUCUUGCUGUCACUUAUAGAUGGAUCCGCGCUUGAUUAGCUAGUUGGUAAGGUAACGGCUUACCAAGGGAACGAUGCAUAGCCGACGUGAGAGGGGGAUCGGCCACCUGGGAGGUGGGACACGGUCCAGGCUCCUACGGGAGGCAGCAGUAGCGAAUCUUCCGCAGUGGGCGAAAGCCUGACGGAGCAACGCCGCGUGAGUGAUGAAGGUCUUCGGAUCGUAAAACUCUGUUAUUAGGGAAAAACAUAUGUGUAAGUAACUGUGCACAGCUUGACGGUACCUAAUCAGAAAGCCACGGCUAACUACGUG